UCGGGUUGUAAAGCACUUUUGUCCGGAAAGAAAACUUCUGCCCUAAUACGGCGGGAGGAUGACGGUACCGGAAGAAUAAGCACCGGCUAACUACGUGCCAGCAGCGCGGUAAUCGUAGGGUGCGAGCGUUAAUCGGAAUUACUGGGCGUAAAGCGUGCGCAGGCGGUUCGUUAAGACAGAUGUGAAAUCCCCGGGCUUAACCUGGGAACUGCAUUUGUGACUGGCGAGCUAGAGUAUGGCAGAGGGGGGUAGAAUUCCACGUGUAGCAGUGAAAUGCGUAGAGAUGUGGAGGAAUACCGAUGGCGAAGGCAGCCCCCUGGGCCAAUACUGACGCUCAUGCACGAAAGCGCGGGGAGCAAACAGGAUUAGAUACCUUGGUAGUCCACGCCCUAAACGAUGUCAACUAGUUGUUGGGUCUUCAUUGACUUAGUAACGUAGCUAACGCGUGAAGUUGACCGCCUGGGGAGUACGGUCGCAAGAUUAAAACUCAAAGGAAUUGACGGGGACCCGCACAAGCGGUGGAUGAUGUGGAUUAAUUCGAUGCAACGCGAAAAACCUUACCUACCCUUGACAUGGUCGGAACCUGGCUG
rnacentral:rRNA from 1 species